GAGUACCCCAAGCGUUAUCCGGAAUCAUUGGGCGUAAAGGGUGUGUAGGUGGUUUGGUUAGUCUUCUGUCAAAGUCUUGGGCUCAACCCAAGACCUGCGGGGGAAACGGUCAGACUCGAGGGUGCUAGAGGUGAAUGGAACUCAUGGAGUAGGGGUGAAAUCCGUUGAUAUCAUGGGGAACACCAAAGGCGAAGGCAAUUCACUGGCGCAUUUCUGACACUGAAACACGAAAGCGUGGGUAGCGAACGGGAUUAGAUACCCCGGUAGUCCACGCCCUAAACGAUGACAACUAGCUUUGGGUGGUAUCAACCCCUUCCGAGGCGAAGCUAACGCGUUAAGUUGUCCGCCUGGGUAGUACGGCCGCAAGGCUA
rnacentral:rRNA from 1 species